rnacentral:rRNA from 1 species
UGGGGAAUUUUGGACAAUGGGCGAAAGCCUGAUCCAGCAAUGCCGCGUGUGUGAAGAAGGCCUUCGGGUUGUAAAGCACUUUUGUCCGGAAAGAAAUCCUUGGCUCUAAUACAGUCGGGGGAUGACGGUACCGGAAGAAUAAGCACCGGCUAACUACGUGCCAGCAGCCGCGGUAAUACGUAGGGUGCAAGCGUUAAUCGGAAUUACUGGGCGUAAAGCGUGCGCAGGCGGUUUGCUAAGACCGAUGUGAAAUCCCCGGGCUCAACCUGGGAACUGCAUUGGUGACUGGCAGGCUAGAGUAUGGCAGAGGGGGGUAGAAUUCCACGUGUAGCAGUGAAAUGCGUAGAGAUGUGGAGGAAUACCGAUGGCGAAGGCAGCCCCCUGGGCCAAUACUGACGCUCAUGCACGAAAGCGUGGGGAGCAAACAGGAUUAGAUACCCUGGUAGUCCACGCCCUAAACGAUGUCAACUAGUUGUUGGGGGAUUCAUUUCCUUAGUAACGUAGCUAACGCGUGAAGUUGACCGCCUGGGGAGUACGGUCGCAAGAUUAAAACUUAAAGGAAUUGGC